GCUUAUCUGUUUUGAACUAGCUUAAUACUGUAUUUUUUUCACAUUCAAUCUCAAACAAAUAUUUUAUUACAAAUUUCGCCCUCAUUUAUAUAACAAAAAAGGUAAUAUUUGAAAGUGAACAAUUUUAAAAUUCGAGGUGUUACAUCCACAUAUGUUUUCUUUAAGAUUCCAACAACAUUUUUUUUAUGUUUAUGAUUAUGCAUAUUUAAUCAAAUAAAAAAUAAAUACAUAUUGCAUUCAGGAUACAAAUUUUUAGCAUUAAUUUAUAGCUAUCUAAAAAAAAACAAAUUUAAAGGAAAUUAGUUGAUAGUGUUUUAAUGUGUUGUCUCUCUUGUGCAAAUAAAUUUGUUUUGGUUUAAAAUGUCAUUCAAUGCUAAAUUUUACAAACCUGCAAAAACAUUGCUAUUUUCAAUAAAAUUACAAAAUCUUUUCAAUGUAAUAUAAUAUGUACAUCAAAAUUAUGAUCCACUUUGUUUCCUUAGAUUUCCAAUUAUGAUCUAAUGAAUGAAACACUAAUGCAGGAGAAAAGUUGCUGUAUGUCUGCAGAGAAUUAAUUCUUUUAUUUAAAUUCAGCAUUUAAAAAAUUACAAAACCUUAAGAAUUUCUUUUUUUUCUGUUCUGUCUUUGUUAUAGACUACUUAAAUGAAAUCCUUGAAUUUGCAUUCCUUACUUCAUAGAAAACUGAAGAUUUUUGUGAUGGAACUAAAAAAAAAAUGCGGUUUAUGUAGAAAAGUAGGAAAAUGUUUAAAUAACUCUAAAAAAACAACUCAGUUAUAUUGCAUCUAUUUUCUUAUGAUAAAACGAAUAUAGGACUUUACAUUGAUCAUCUACUUUGUUGAAAUAUAUCUAGAUGUUGAUGAUUAUAAAAAAGAUUAUUGUUUUUUGCAUCUACUUUAAUUAAUGAUAUAUGAAGGUGCUGUG
rnacentral:lncRNA from 1 species